UACGAAGGGGGCUAGCGUUGUUCGGAAUUACUGGGCGUAAAGCGCGCGUAGGCGGCUUUGCAAGUUAGAGGUGAAAGCCCGGGGCUCAACCCCGGAAUUGCCUUUAAGACUGCAUCGCUAGAAUCCAGGAGAGGUGAGUGGAAUUCCGAGUGUAGAGGUGAAAUUCGUAGAUAUUCGGAAGAACACCAGUGGCGAAGGCGGCUCACUGGACUGGUAUUGACGCUGAGGUGCGAAAGCGUGGGGAGCAAACAGG
rnacentral:rRNA from 1 species